rnacentral:rRNA from 1 species
GACGAACGCUGGCGGCGUGCUUAACACAUGCAAGUCGUACGGUAAGGCCCUUUCGGGGGUACACGAGUGGCGAACGGGUGAGUAACACGUGAGUAACCUGCCCACAACUUUGGGAUAACGCUCGGAAACUGGUGCUAGUCCUGGAUCUGUGCUUUUGCUGCAUGGUGGGGGUUGGAAAGCUCCGGCGGUUGUGGAUGGACUAGCGGCCUAGCAGCUUGUUGGUGGGGUAGUGGCCUAACAAGGCGGCGACGGGUAGCCGGCCUGAGAGGGUGACCGGGCACAGUGAGACUGAGAUACGGCCCAGACUCCGACGGGAGGCAGCAGUGGGGAAGAUUGCACAAUGGGCGCAAGCCUGAUGCAGCAACGCCGCGGGCGGGAUAACGGCCUUCGGGUUGGAAACCGCAUGCAGCAGGGACGAAGCUUUUUGUGACGGUACCUGCAGAAGAAGCACCGGCUAACUACGUG